CGCAGCUUUGGGCAGGGGACAAGCCAGCAAGAAGCAGACGGCUGCAGCCCCUUCCCUCACCAUCCUCCCUUUCAAGAUACUGCUCAGGAAAAUCUGCUUCAAAAGGUGAGAUCAGGGGGUGAUCACAAAAAGAAGGUCCCCAAAGAUCUAUGGAAGAGCCCAGGAAAUGAUGAAGCUCCUACAGAAUGUAUCAGCACCACCAUCAUCACGAUCUAGUCCACCCCCACCACCUCUAU
rnacentral:lncRNA from 1 species